GGAACAUUUUAAGGCUAGUGGAAGAAACUGCAUACAGUCAUUUAAUGGAGGCCAUCCUGGAAUUUGCUCCUGAAACAUUGUACGAUGAGUUGUUAACGAAAGUUUUCAGGAAGUCAUUGUUUCGCAUGUCAUCUCAUCACUGUGCAAACUUUGUUGUGCAGGCUUUAGCAUCUCAUGCCAAAAGUCAGGAUCAUAUGGACUUGAUCUGGGAGGAGCUUGGUACAAAGUUUCGCGAUCUUUUUGAAAUGGGAAAGUCUGGAGUUGUUGUUUCUGUCCUUGCUGCAACUCAAAGACUCCACAGCCAUGAACAUGAGUGUUGUCAGGCCAUUGCUGCUUCUGUAUGCACAGGGGAUGAGUUUCCCAAGGGAACUAAUACAGGUGUACAUUACUAGUAUCACAUCUUUAGAAGAACAUCAUGUUCUCGAGGCAUCGAAAGAUCCUAGUGGUUCACGGUUCAUUGAAUCUUUU
rnacentral:misc_RNA from 1 species